AACAUCGCGCACCUGCGGGAACCUGCGGAGGGAUCAUUACCGAGUGAGGGCCCUCCGGGUCCAACCUCCCACCCGUGUUUAACGAACCUUGUUGCUUCGGCGGGCCCGCCUCACGGCCGCCGGGGGGCACUCCGCCCCCGGGCCCGCGCCCGCCGAAGACACCUGUGAACGCUGUCUGAAGUUGCAGUCUGAGACACUAGCUCAAUCAGUUAAAACUUUCAACAACGGAUCUCAGAUCGG
rnacentral:misc_RNA from 1 species